ensembl:snRNA U6 U6 spliceosomal RNA
UUGCUUUGGCAACACAUAUACUAAAAUUGGAAUGAUACAGAAAAGAUUAGCAUGGCCCCUGUGCAAGGAAGACACACAAAUUUGUGAAGCAUUUCAUUGUUUU